rnacentral:tRNA from 1 species
UAGCUCAGUUGGUAGAGCGCUGCCUUUGCAAGGCAGAUGUCAGGAGUUCGUUCUU